GCGACCCUUGAUAACAACAAGGCCAUCCUAAUGUCCACCAUGUUUGCCGCGGGCUGUGCAGCAAUUCUUACCUGCCUGAUGCUAGUUUGAGGCCUUUCUAGUUUUUACUCUACAAACAUUGUUGUAGAGUUCGCUCGCUCGCUGAGUUUUGUUUUUUUUUUUACUCUGCUCGACGUGGAGUUCGCGAAAUAAAAUUGUCCUAUCACCCUC